rnacentral:rRNA from 1 species
GACGAACGCUGGCGGCGCGCCUAAAACAUGCAAGUCGAACGACAAGCCCGGGCUUGCCCGGGUGGACAGUGGCGAACGGGUGAGUAACACGUGAGGAACCUGCCCCGAAGACCCGGGACAACGACCGGGAAACCGGUGCUAAUACCGGAUACCUUCACCGGAUCGCAUGGUCUGGUGAAGAAAUGGAUUCCGCUUCGGGAUGGCCUCGCGGCCUAUCAGCUAGUUGGUGAGGUAACGGCUCACCAAGGCGACGACGGGUAGCUGGUCUGAGAGGAUGUCCAGCCACACUGGGACUGAGACACGGCCCAGACUCCUACGGGAGGCAGCAGUUAGGAAUCUUGCGCAAUGGACGAAAGUCUGACGCAGCGACGCCGCGUGCGGGAUGAACGGCC